UUAGUAAAUGAAUGAGAUAAUAAUUGAUAUAUUACCGGGUCAAACUAGCUGAUGGAUGUUGACCUCUCCUCUGCCCUCUUUCUCUCCAUUAAACGAAUUUGAAGAACAGUUGCCUCCUGGCUCCUCGUCUGCGGGUUGGAUAUAUCCCACGCCACGAUGAAGAUGAAUAGCGACAAAGCCUACUAUCUGAAAUCAUUUUCGGUUUUUCCUCCGAAUUUAAGAAGGAGGAACACAAAGCAUCGCAGCAGCAGCAGCUUCGACCUUAGUCUCAGCGUGGAGAACUUAGCGUGGGUAUACUUUCCAUUUUUGUCACUGGUUGUAAAGGAACAUCUUUCACGCGUUCACCAAAGAGAUUCAGGUUUUCGCUAGUGUAAAAAUUCCUUAGCCUUGUUUCAUGUUCCAACAAGUGCUCCCUGAUUCCAAUAUUCCAGCAUUCAGUGUGCCCUUUUGCUAAGAAGCAGUUCAGUGUGCCUUUUUGUUUAAAAGCAGGCUUAGGAAACUACUACCCUGAGCAGUGUGGUCCAGCAGCCAAGUUUCAUCGGUAUUUACAGUUCCAAGAAAAGAGCAGCAAGAAAGCGAUUUAAAUCCAAAAGGCAUUCGUACGCAGCUAAGCAAAGUGCAAUCCAAUUCAUGCAGUUUGAACAAUGCAGUGUUAUCAUGGACUCUAAUGAAGAUACAGAUGGAUGCUUCUCAUGCUUGCUAAACAAGAACACCAUCUACGAAGUUCCAGGGAAGACCCUUGAAUUCUGGCGCAUGCAAGCACCAUGGCAUUUCUUUGGCGAUGAUUGGAAUUUGGAACCAGAAUGUGAGUUAUUUGCUUGAUAAGCCACUCGAAUUAAACCAGGAACAAUGGAGUGAGCAAAGAAGCAAGAAGGACUGUAAACCACAGAGAUCAAGUUACAUCAUGAAAGCCAAGAGACGAACUAAAGAAGAAGUGCUUACUGAAACAAUCUGUGGAAGAGCCUUCCACUUGAGUGUUGAUCGUUUCCACUUUAAAGAUUUUUUUUUCAUGUUUUCACUAGUGUGAAGAUUCCUUGGCCUUGAUUCAUGUUCCAACAGCACCCCACCCACAAGUGAAGGCUAAGGAAACGUGCUCCAGCAACCAAGGUGGAACUGCUUUGACUACACACAUUUUUCACAAGGGUUCAAAAGCAAACAUAAUAGCAGCUCAGAUUGUUUUCUAGGAAAGUGCCUAAUUCAAGCAUCAUUCUAGUGAGCUCAAUAGAAGCAGCAUUUAUUCCCUGAGCAAGAGAGCUCCUCCAAUAUUGGUUUGAUGAUUUAUUUUUUUUUAUUCCAUCUUUCUUUAUCUGGGUUUAGAUAGUUCUGUGAUCAAUGACAAAUAAGUGAAACCGAGAACAAAGAUGUGUAGAAAGAGAACUCGUAGCAUUUGUGUGCGGCAGAAAAAAAAAGAAUGUAAAGCAAAAGUGUAUUUUCAUAAAAGUCCCACAUCGGGGAGUUAGAGAGCGUUGGUCAUAUGCUUUGUAGUAUAAAAACAAAGCCCGGCCUCACUUGCAAUUCAUACCUUUCUCGGCCUUUUGGCUAAGAUCAAGUGUAGUAUCUGUUCUUAUCAGUUUAAUAUCUGAUAUGUGGGCCAUCGGCUCACACGAUAUUAACACUAUUUUUUUGGGGAGAAGGCCCAUGCGUUGUA